GAGAAAUAGGGAUGUAGGUCCACGGAACCGGGCGUUUACGGAACUCAAAGGCUAAUGGGGAAACAAUGGGGCGGUGAGACCGGGAGCAAGCCGAGAGACGCUCAGGAGAGGGCGACUAGGCAGCACGGGACGGGGGAGAUGAAAGAGCAGAAGGCUGCAGCAGACACAGGCGGCAGGGAGACAGGGAACGGAAGCCGUGAAGGCAGGUGUGAUGGAAGCGAAAACACACCUCGGAGCAGCACAGGACCCGACGCGCCAGACAAAACGCAAAGGAAGGAAAAGACGGCUGAAGGGGGCAGUGGUGAACUGUGUGGAAUUGCUGAUGCUGGAGUUGAAACCUGAAUAUGAGGAUGCUCUAAACUGAUUUGCAGCACAUAAAAAUGGAAGAAUAAGAGAACCAGAAACAAGCACCUCCAAAAGUCCUGGGAUUUUCCUGGAAGAAACAUUAUAUCAGAACUGGUUUAGACCUUCUGCCCCAUGACUUCACAGCUGUGUGAGGAUACAAGAAGAAAACAGUCAUUUGCAAACAGGAAGAGUUCCCUCACCGGACACUAGAUCAGGCCUGGAUCUUGGACUUCUAGUCUCCAGGACAGUGAGAAAUAAAUGUUUGUUGUUUAAGCCACCCAGUCAGUCUAUAACACCCUAAACUAAGAGAACACAGUCUUGGAGGUUUGCUUUAAAAAUGAGGAAACCAAGACCUAGGGAGGAGAGACAAAACACAGUGUGGAAGGACUCCUAGAUUGCUUUGAUAAACCUAAAUUGUACUCUUGUGUGACUGUAGGCAAGUUUGUGACUAGGCCUCAAAUUCCUCUUCUGCAAAGGGAGAAGACUGAGAAGCGGUAAGUGAUUUUCAAGAUGCGUUUUGAGGCAUUUACAGUCUGCUUUUAUGAUUUUGAGAUGGAGUGUCUUGGCUGAAGUCAUACAGUGUUCUAUCACCUGGCCCAAUGUUUUGUUUUAUGACACCACACUGAGUUUCCAUUAAAAAAAAUUUUUUAUGUG